AAGACCUUUAAAAUUAGUCCUGUGAGGCUAAAAAGGAAGAGAAGUAUAUUUCAUAAAAAUGUAAUUAUAAAUAUUAUAUGCAUAAUAUUUAAGAUGGAGUAUAAUUAUGCCUUCCUUUAAAAAGGAAGGCAUUUUUUAU
rfam:Clostridium sp. IEH 97212 scaffold_23, whole genome shotgun sequence.